UUUAUUUUAGUGUUAAACACAUAAAAUUUAGAAUUUUAUUUAAUUAAUUUUAAAUUUAUAAAUAAAA
rnacentral:tRNA from 1 species